AGCUGACAGCAACAUGGCGGCGGCGGCCGGGCGGCGUGGCGGGGGCUUGGGGCGGCCACCCGCGCCCGUGAGGGACGUGCCGCCCGCCGGGGAGCUGGUGCGGCCCUCGGUGACAGAGCUGUCCCAAGUGCGGACCAACAUCCUGUGCACCGUGCCCGGCUGCGGGAAGGUGCUGCCCAACAGCCCGGCCCUCAACAUGCACCUCAGCAAGGCGCACCCGCUCCAGGAUGGAAAACUUAAUGCACCAAUAAGGAAGGGUUUGAAAACUUCACAGAAAUUCUACUGCUGUCCUAUUGAAGGCUGCCCUAGAGGACCAAACAGACCAUUUUCCCAAUUUUCUCUUGUAAAACAGCACUUUAUGAAAAUGCAUGCUGAAAAGAAGCACAAAUGUGAUAAAUGUAGUAACUCCUAUGGCACAGAAUGGUAUUUGAAACGGCAUAUAGAGGUCUGUGGGAAGACUUUCCAGUGUACUUGUGGGUGCCCUUAUGCCAGCAGAACAGCAUUACUGUCUCACAUUUACAGAACUGGCCAUGAAAUUCCUGCAGAACACAGGGAUCCUCCUAGUAAGAAAAGGAAAAUGGAGUCCUCCAUUCAUAAUCAGCAGUUGGCAGAGAAAGCAAACGAAGCAUUCAGCAAUACACACAGUACUGCUCCUGGCACUCAGGAACUGGAGUCCUCUGAAGUGAAAGUAGCAGCCUCUCUUGAAGGCUCCUGCAGUUCUAACUUCACAAACCAAAUGCAGCCAAAAUGUGCACCAAAGAUGCUUUUACCCAAGCCCAAGGUGGCUUUGGUUAAACUUCCAGUGAUGCAGGUUGCUCACUUGCCUGUGUAUGUAUCUGCAACAGACUCUUCUGUCAAACCUGCUGUAGUGGCUGUUGAUAAUCAAGGUUCAGUUGUAAGUACUGUUCAUUUAUUGCCUCAGUCUAUAGGAAUCCUGAUUCCAGCCCUGGAGGCAGAAACACUUGUAUUUAAAGACAGUAUGCCUGUUUCAAAAGUGACAGCUUCUGGUGAUCGUGAGCCAGUAAGUACUGGUGUACAAGUUGAAUUGGACAAGGUUACAUCAAAUAACCCAGGGCAAGAGCUGGGGAAUGUUUGUCACAAGAACAAAAUUUCUUCAAUAAAUAUACAGACUGACUUAUCUUAUAUCUCACAGAGCUUUGUACCAGCUGCAGCCUGGACUCCCAAUUCUUCUGUGUCCUCUUGUUCUCAGACAGAUCUGUCAUUCAGUUCCCAGGUUUCAUUACCCAUCAGUGUACAGACACAGACACUGCUGCCUGCUUCCAAGCUGACUUCAUCCAUAGCUGCUCAGACUGAUGCUUUCAGUCAGGGCUGUUUUCCAACGUGUGGCAUUUCCAGAGAGACUCAAACCAGCAGGACACAGGACUGUAUUGAUGGAAGAGUACAGAUGGACCAGGCUGUAAUGUGCAGUGACAUUUUUGACAAUGUUCCUUCAUCAUAUAAUGUUUCUACUCACAUUGAACUUCCAGAAAACAAUUUAAUGCCUGCAAAUAUAGAUCAGACCUUGCUGCAAAGAAGUAGUUGCAAGAGCCUGAAUCAGGAUACGGUUAAGUCUGAAUCCCUUAUCAGCUUCAAUACACAGACUAAUAUACUUCCACCUCAAAAUACAACAGAUAAUCAAACCCAGACAAUGGACCUGCUGAGUGAUCUGGAAAACAUUUUUUCAGGAAACAUGUCUGGCCAGUCACUGGAUAAUCGUGGCCUUUUGUCUGAGACCAGUUCUAAUGCUGACACACAUCUUCCUUCUGCUCCAUCACAGAGCACGGGGAUAGACUUCGACAUUGAAGAGUUCUUUUCAGCAUCCAACAUCCAAACUCAGACUGAAGAGAGUGAGCUUGGUACCCUGAACUCUGAGCCAGUUUUGGAGUCACUGGACAUUGAAACUCAGACUGAUUUCUUAUUUUCAGAUAGUGCCACUCAAUCAUAUAACUGCCGAGGCAAUUCUAACUUCUUAGGUUUGGAGAUGUUUGAUACACAGACACAGACAGACUUGAAUUUCUUUUUGGACAGUACUACCCAUCUGCCUUUAGGAAGUAUUCUGAAACAGUCCAGUUUCUCCAUGAGCACUGACUCAUCUGAUACAGAAACCCAGACAGAAGUAUAUAUGGCUACUAAAAAUACACCUGCUCAGAAUAUGGAAAGCAAAGUCCAGCUCAGUAGUGCUGAGACACAGACUAUGGAUAGCUGCUUUGAGAAUCUGGGGAGUUUAUUCCUUACCAGCAAUGAAACACAGACAGCAAUGGAUGACUUCCUUCUGGCUGACUUAGCCUGGAAUACAAUGGAGUCCCAGUUCAGUUCAGUAGAAACACAGACCUGUGAAGAGCUGUGCUCCUUGUUCCAGAGCUCUGACAAGCCCAGCCACUGAGUGCUAAUAUAACUGUUUCUUGUGGUUUGAAUUUAAUUUAUUGGGGUGGGAGAGAUGGCUUUACCAAUUGAUCCACUUUGCAUUAUUGAAUGUACUUGUCACAAGCAGUUGACCUAACAGACUUUUCAUGCCGAAGGUACUCUAUUGAAUAUGUAACUUUACAUAAACUAUGUGUGUAUAAAUAGAGGGGAAAGGGGGGCCUGUAACAUGUUAAUGUACAUUUGAACCUUAAAAAACUAUGUGGUGCCUAUGUUUUUUCCUCAAACUUCUUUAUGAAGCUGUUACUGCUUUCAUCUAAGUGGAAGAACUUUUAAAGUUGUUCUCUAUAUCUCUCUCUCUAUUCCUGGCUUACAUGCAGGGUUCCAAUGUGCUGGACCAAAACCCUGACCUGUUCAGUUGAGAUGCUUCCCUGAACUUAUGGGGGAGGAUUCUAUUAGUGUAAGCUACUUCUGUUUACUUUUUUUAGUAGCUUGUAUUUUAAAUCCGGCAUGAACAUAAUCAGCCGUAUUGUCUUCUUUUACUUUAUGCCUUCACAGCUCUUUCUCCUGCAUAAGCUGACAUUUUCCAAAUACCUGUCCAACACACUAGACACCUAGAGAUUCUUGAAUUGUUGAAAAUAUUUAUUAUUUUAAAAGAGUGUAGAAAGCAGUAUUUUUGUUUUCCCUGAGUGGCACUGAUGCUCUUUGAAGGGUAGGAAAAGAACAUGGAAUUCGUAACUGUAGGGAAAAUUAGUAUGUCGUCCUUUUAGCUAGCAUAAUAAAUGGGACUAACAUUUUUAGUCUUCAGAAGGGAUUUGCUUAAAUUAUUUCUGUCUUGAAGAUGCAAAUGUUACAAUGUGCGUGCCUCAGAGACUGGAAUCAUUUGGUUUUGCUGAAAUUCUCCUAGCUUUAUUGAGAUACGAGUUGAGAAAUGUUACAGUGGUUUACUACCUUAAGAGAAAUCUUUAAAAAUGGACAAUUAAAUUCCUUAAAACACUCACCUCGACUUCUGGUUUUGGACUUCCUGCUUCCAGAAACAGUUGGAAUCCAUACAGCAGAACUGGGAUAUCAGCUCACAGAAGCCCUUCCAGAACAGCUCUAUCUUACUUUUGCACUUUGAUCUGCAGCCCUCAGUUCCUGCAGCUUUCACAGUUUCCCUGAGUAUAGUCAAACUCACACAAACUGAUUUUUCAGAGAAGAAGCAUAUGACCUCUUGGCACCUUUUUUUAAAUGUUUAGGUUGCCCCUCAUGCCACUGUUUGCAGUAUUUUUCAUUUACAUUAAGCCAGUUGUGAAUGUAUGUUGGAAUUUGGCCUUAAGUAAUUUUUAUCUCUUGCUAUAAUAUCUGUGAAAUGUAGGCCUCUGGUUUUGUACUGGACAAGUUUUAGUUUCUGUAACCUUAAAGGAAAACUCUGUGUGUCAAAUUCCUGGGUCUGUAACAGACUUCACUCCUCCAUUGUUAGAGGAGAGGUAUUGGCUGCAUAAUUACUGUGCAGCCCAGCAGCAAAUGUAUGUCCAAGCCUUAGGUUUUGAGGACUCCCUAUGCUUUGUGCUGCAUAUUCUCAGUUCAAGGAUGUGGGAGUUAAGUUACUCAUCCAUUGCAGCCAGAUUGUUUUUGUUGCAGAUGAGCAAUACCUUUCUUUUAUCCUUUUUUUUUCCUUUGUCUUUUCCUAAUAGUCUUUAUAUUGCUGUGGUGAGUGUCUUUACUGAAAUAAUCUCUUCAGAUUAAUCCUGAAACUCACAUUCUCCUCCUGAGACCCCAUCUGUGUUGCCUGUUUGAUUUUUCAACAUUUCUAGGUAUGAUUUCAGACACUUCCAGUCUGGAUGAAGAAACUGCAGAACGGAAUCUUGCAGUUCCUCAGGAGAAAGUCACUCUGCUGUGGGGAAUGCCCCCAGAUUUCACAAUGUCUGUUGAGUUCUCAUCUGAAGGGUGGGAUAUAUUUAAAAAAGGAAGGCCUCACUUGUAAUUUUGUUUCUUGUGAAGAUGACUGACUCAUAUUUACUUGCCUACUUUGAAAUUGAGAGAUAAGAUAAAGAACAAAAUUAGGUUAAUUUAUUCUGUUGCAAUAUCUUUCUAGUAAUGUUGCAACUUCACAUUUUAAAGUGUUUUUCCUUCCCCUGGCUGCAAUACCAGAGAAUGCUUCUUCAUACACUGAUUUCUGUGUUUCCCAUAUGCAAGUUGUCUGUACUGACAUGUGAAAGAGAGGCAGUCACUAUGAACCUGGUUUGGGAAAAGGGUGUUUUCCACAGCUGUAGAAGCUGUUUGUUACCUCUGAAUUCAGAAAGUCAGCCUUUACUCUGCAAGAGAAGCAAUCUUGGGUGCUGAGGAGCAGAAUUGCUGAAGGGUUUGAAUUGUAGCCAUCUGAGAGACCAGCAAGGUUUAAAGUACUUUGAAACUAAUUUAGAAAUUAGAGUGAUAAUUGCCAUGUUAUUGUGUAAGCCAAAGCUCUUAGCAUCAGGGACUGUCAGGAAAAGACCCAGAAGUUGUGUGGAUGAAAUCUUACCAUGUAAUCAUUACCCAGUUAUUAUACUUUUUAAUUAAAAGUCUUUCUGAGCUUUGUGUAUUUUAUUAGAACAUGCAAAUCACAAUCUUUUCACUCAUUCUAUUUAAAACAGUUUGGACUUUAAUUAGGUGAACACAGUACUACAACAUGAAGUCAUUUAUUGAAAGUGCAGUAUUUAGAAAUUAUUAAAUGUCUGCACUGUCUUAGGAAAGACGAAAUUAACUUCUGACCAAAAUUAACUUUUUUCUUCAUUAAUUUGGUUCUCCAUAAAUUAUUCAUUUAAAAAACAGGUUUGGAUCAUGCAUGUCUGGCUUAUGUCACUCAGUUUGGAUUUAUGAAGUACUUUUGUGAAAAUGUGAAGACUGCAGCCAGACUUCAUAGUUUGGUGAAUCCCACAGGAAACUUCAUGAAACCUGAUCUGAAACACUAUUGCUGAAUAUUAUGAAUUUUUCACAUUUAAACAAAAAGGCUCUCUUGAAAAGAGAGCCUCUUGCAAAAGGCUGAUUUUCUGUUUUUGCCUUUGUUGUAAAAUAAACUUCAGACACAACCAUUUCUGGGUAGAACUAAAGUGAUAAUUAUCUCCCUUUUUCUGCAGUUUGUCUCUGAUUUGAUUUUCAAGGCACUGUAUUGUAAGUAUUGGUCAGCAGUGACUUACUAUCUCACUCUUUUUUGUAUCCUCUAUUGCCAUUAGAGCUGCUAUACAGAAAGUAACAUCAGAGUCUCUGUAGCCUCUUAGCAGAAUUUUUUAUCUGGAAGUGAUACUAAUGUUAUGUGUACUUACCCUUUGUGUUUCCUGCUUCAUUCUGUUAAACUGUGAUUGCUGGAUCUUGAUCCUGACGCCUAUGUAACACUACUAUAAAAUUGAAUUAGUACUUUUGUAGUUUCAUUUGUGCUUUUCUUUAAUGUUUUGUGUUUUUCUUUAAUAUAUAGAGUCGAACAAAGGAAACAGCAGAUUUGGGACUUGCAUUCUGUGAGAACAUAAGCAUAAAUAAGCUGAAAAAUGAAAGGUCUGUCUUGUUGUCUUCCAUAUUUGUUUGUCAGAAUACUGAAAGUUUGUCUGGCUGUAGGUGUUUCCUCUUCUUACAGCUUUAUUUGUGUCUAUUUCUGCUAAUACACCUGUAAAUACUUUUUGCUGUGGGUAGGGAGGGAGUCCUCCCCAAAACUUUGUGUUGGCCUAGAAAAAUUGGUAGUUUUAAGUCAGAGUUUGCUAAUGCUACAUAUUCUUAGUUAUGUGAAGCUGCUUGAGUUUAGAAAAUUCUCAGUUCCAAAGGAUAUGAAAGCAUUAAAAAAAAAUGUAUAUAUACUUGCAGCUGUAAAUUAAACAGCUGCAAAAAAAAAACCUUGUGAAACCUCGUUAAGUUUUUAACUACUUGAUCAGUGUCUGUAAAUUAAUGUAUGUAACUAACUCCUUAGAAAUGUUUGUUUCAAGGCACAAUACACAGGUUUGUUUUUGGUUUUUUUUCUGUUGGAAACAAGAGGCUGAAUUUCCUUGUUGGUCAUAUGGACCCCAGUUGUGUAGGGGCAAGAGAACAAAGAAUGAUGGCUGCCUUGCACUGUUCUGAGUCCUUAUGCUGCUAAGAUGUGAAUUGAUUUUUUGGUGAGGCUGGGUAGAAAUGUAGGAGUUGGCAGGACUGGGGGCUUAGGGGGCUAGAGGGGGUUUUAUAGCCUUUUAAAUGUAAGGAAAUUUAAUAGAACUGAUACUGAAUCAACACAGGGUGCUCAACUUGCAAAAGAACAUGUUCCUGAAGUGGCAACUCUGAGGUGAAUUAAAUGUGCUUGCCUUCAUCAUUAAGGUUGUACAGCUUCCUUUGCUUUAAUAUCUUUCUGACGUGUGCUGAUUUUUUAAAUGUGAUCUUAAUGUACCAUUUACUGUUCCAAAUACAUUCACACCAAACUGUUGAUACCAUUCUGAGCCUUGCAAGCUUUUUCAUUCCUGUUUGGUUUAAGGUGCUGCUAUGCUUGUGUCCUGGUAGGAUGGGCCUCCAGUAACCAGGCUGCCAUUGAUAACGAGCACUGUGAGGAUACGGCUGUUUAAUGGUAGCAAACCAGUGUAUGGUGCAGUCAUGCAUCUUCUGUUUCUUUUGUUGCUGUUUUUAUAAGAGUUGAUGUGAAUUUAAAUAUGUGCAAGAAGGACUUGCUGCUUAGAACAGGACUGAAUUCUCUUGUUUCAAGUGCCAUUGCUGUGCAAUGAACAGAACUCCGCGCUCAGCCCCGCAGUCAGGGUGAGGGAACGUUUGUGUUUGUGUGUGUGACUCUUCACUGAAAAUGUAACCAGACAGCCUGAAAUGGUGGACACGCCUCAAGGAACUGCUGAGUUAAAUAACAGAAGUCCCUUUACUUGUGACCAUUUUUCAUAUGCUGGCUUUACAGUACCUGCAACAACUAGCUGUGGAAUAUAACAGAUGACUUGUGGAUGCCAGCUCUACAUUUCACAACUUCCAGUGCUUUACAUGCUUCAAGCACCUGCAUGCAGAGCUAGAUUGACAGUACCUCUAUCUACAGACAUCUGCAAGUACAUCUGUGAUAAAGCUAGCUCCCAUGCUUAGUGAUGAUCCCACCAUCUUCUCUUAGUUGGAGGAUAUAAAUGCUGAUUUUUGUUGUUACCUGUAAGUCUUGCAUGUGUGAUUCAGAGGAGGUGAAUGAGCAGAAGCCUCGUGACUGAAGGUUCAUCUGCACUGUUCCCUCAGCUGUAGUCAUGAAUGAAGCAUUCCCUGAUGGACAGCAGGAGGCUGCUGUGUUCAGUUCCAUCACAGUCUGAGGAAUGGUGUUGUUCUUGAGAGAACUUAACACAAAAACAAGAAGCUCCUGUUUCCUCUGCUGGAAGAACCCAGUGUAUUCAAAGGCACAUAAUGUGAUUAAGUUUAUGAUGGCUGAAGGGUUGUGUAUUUGUUUCUUUGUUAUUUGUUCUAGGUCUUUAGCAGCUUUUCUGGCCUUCUGCUGCAUGUCUUGUAGAAUAAACUGUGAGUGUAGUCUAUGUUCUUGUAUCAGGUUGUAGUAAAACCUCUGUCUAAUCUGACAGAUUCAAAAAACACAGCAACGCUCUUACCUGGCAUCAAACACUGGAAAACAUGAAAAAAAAUGUUUAUAGUUUCCCCUGCGACUCUUUUUUUUGUAGUCCUAAAAAAUGGAUUACUGAAUUUCUUUCUCUUGGGGCUAUUUGUGAAGGAUGCUUGUUUUGUAGCAGUUGCAUUUAAUAUCUAAAUAUGGAAAACAGAUUAGAAAAUAUUUCACCAUGGGGGAAAGGUACAAAGAAGGGAAGAAAAUGGUCUAUUAGACCUAACUGUGAAAAAAAAAAGUGCAACAAGCUUAUUUUUGGGUCUAUAAAGUCAUGAAGUAGUGCCACUGAGACCACUUGCAGUUGAUAGAAAGCCCUGUGGUUAUUUUACAACAUGGCAUGAAGACUGAGUCACAAGGACUCUUACCAGGAGAUGGGAUUUAGGAACAUCCGUAAGUGCAUUUUUUCAGAUACUUGUGUGAAGAGUUGUGUUAAAAGUUCUAGAACUGAAAGAGUCCCAAACCUGCUUGCUGUUCCUUAAUCCUUGUUAAGAAAAUUCAACCCUUCUAAAAAGUACAGAAUUAUUUAUAUAAGAAAAAUAAAUGGUCUUUAUCAUUUUCUCCAGAAAUGUGAUGUAUAUGUUAGGGUAUUUUUUCUUUUUCAUUUUCUUAACUGGCCUUUUUUUUUUUACUCUCUUCUAAAUUCUUAAGACACUCAGGAGUCAACAGACAAUUAAUAAAAUUUCAUGUGAGCAUCAUCCUACUCUAAGGCAGAUUCACAAGGUCAUGAACAUAGGUAAACUCUUAGAAUUUUAUUUUCUUGUUAAUGCCAUGUCUUUGUUUGGAUUCCAAUACUUCAAAAAAAAAAAAAAAAAAGAAAGAAAAAAACAACAAAACAAAACCAAAACCCUAGAAACCAAUACCCAAGCACAAAACACCCUUUCCAAGUAUCAUAUAUUUUGUUUAGCAGAACUUACAACCUGCUGGAAUUACUCACUGAUUUGACAUCAAAUCUCCUUGAUAUAACUCUAUGAAUCAAAGAAUUUUCACCUUAAUAGAUAAGGACUGCAUAACCUGGUUGGUAAAGAUAAUAUUUGACACAGAAAUCAAUACCAUUGUUUUUUUGUAUGCCUCAAGCACACUAUCUAAUUCUAAUCUGGCACUUGUUUGGAUGUGACUAAGAUAUUUUCUUGGGGAAAUAAAUAAAGUCUGAGUUAAUCAUCAGUGUGGGAAGGUAUUUUUAAAGUAGAAGCAUGCAGAACAACUGUAUCAUGCAAGGCUUACAGACUGCCAGUGAAAAUACCAUUGUCACAUUCAUGUAGUCACAUAUUAUUAAAUUCAGGGGUGAUAUUCUCAUGUAACACCUACAUAGUUCAUCAGCCUCAGAGGAGCUGCACAAUGAGAGUAGAAGUUGACCUUUACAGUUCAUGUACUGAGUCACAACUUCAUCUCCAAAGCUGCUGUAACCGUAAUGCACUUCGCCUUUACAUCCAUUUUAUCUGCCUGCUAAAUAUAAACCUGUUCUGGAAAGUUAAAGUGGACAUGUGACAGGGGCCACUUUGGAUAAGCCCCAGCACUCAGACACUCUGCCCUAUUAAUGGUUCCAUCCCAGUUCUGCCUAAUGCUCCCCUGCGCCGGUGUUUGCUUUCUCCUAGAUUACCUGAGCUCACACAAUCAAUAAAAGCAGCAGAAGAAAGCUCCCCGUUCACUUUCUGCUACGGUUCUGUCUCUUCCUUUGCAAAUCUUUUAACAAAACGUGACCAAACGUUUCUGUUCAUUUAGCUGGAAAUUCUCAAGCAUCAGACGGGUUUUAAAUGCACUUUGGCACGGUAGAAAUGUCAGGGACACUCAGCUCACAUAGGCAAACAAGAGGCUGUCUUUAAAAAUUUUGACAUCAGCUGGAAGAUGCAGAGACAGGUCAACAAAAUGUUAUUAGGACAAUGUUAAUUAGGACAAACCUUUAUCCUGUGACCGUGCUAUUUAAAUCUGCAGAGGGAGAGGAAUCUGGAGGAAUGGAAACCAUGCCUGAGCACCAUUUCCUGAGGCUGUCAACACUAAUUGCAAUGUAAGACCUUCUGUUCUUCUUGCCCUGUAAUAGAGCAAACCUGCAUAGCUCCAGAACUUACAGGAUGCUGUCUCCAUUAGUGCUGGCACCUUCAAAAUUAUCUUGUCAUAAAAAUACUACUUUCCAGCAAAGAGAUAAUAGGUAUUUCUUUAAAGGGGGUAGCUAGGGCAGUAUUUAUGAUUCUGUAUCAGCUUGGUUUUGACAGUAUUAUUUAGAACAGAGUCUUGAAAAAUGUCCUUACCAUAGCACUAUAAAAGCAGAUAUAGAUUAGGCUUUGAAACUUCAAUGUUCAAAACGUUGUGAACUAAAUUAAGAUUGAGGGGGUGGUGGAUGGCUGCCUACUAUUGCAUACAUUAAACCAUAGUUUCUGUGUGUGGUACUGCUUACUUGCCUCUAAGGAUUUCAGCAUUUGCUGUGUACAAAUAUUUAUAGUAGGCAAACCCAACAUUUCUUUUUAAAUUUCCUUUUACAAACAGUGCCUGAUGCUUCCCAUCUCUAACCACAGUUUCCACAUCACAGAAGGAUGCAUGAGGCUGCAGGCUAUUUGAGGGAAUGUCUGCAUGUAUAUUUGUUAAAAUUCAGUGCUCAAAACUUACAUUUACUGCAUCUGUCUUAAAAUUCAUCAGAGGGGGUAGACCAGCUUGGUAGUAAGGACACCCUCAGAAGUGAAAGGUGUGGGUGAGAGUUCCCACAGCACACUUGGCAAGUGAGCAAGAGUAAAAAAGCAGCAGCAUCCUCAGAUUCAGUGAGACUGCUGGGAAUGUUUGGACUGGGAGAAGAAAGUGAGAAAUAUCAUUGUGAGAAUUCUGGUGGUGUUUACACAGUGACAGUGCUUGAGACAAGGCUGAGGUGCCCCUGCAUCUCAUGUUGCUUUGACCUGGCUAGUCCAAGGCUUAUUGUGUUGGUUUGGGUUUUUUUCCUUGCUUUGCAGUGUGGUUUCUCUGGUUUUAUGCUUAAGUUUAUGAUAAAAAGAAGUUGGGCAACUAACAUUACCAGAAGAGGGGAAGUGAAAUUUUUCAAAGGUACCCCAAUUGUGUAAAGUACAGCAGAAGCUAAAUUACUCUGAAGUUGUGUUCCCAGGCAUACCACAAAAACAUCCAGACCUGAAUGAAUGUGUAAUUUGGUUUAAACCAAUUUAGCUUAUUUGUGCUGAUAGUUUUGCAGUGGUUUAAAAAUGCAAAGACUUUACAUAUUGAUGUAAAAACUUAAGUUCUCUGUUUGAUUUUGAGUGGAAUGAACAUCAGCAAAACCAAGUGUUAGUUCAUUAGAAAAUGUUCAUUAUGACAGAGAGAAAUUACAGAAAAAUUAAUUUGAAAGGAUGUAGCCUUAAAAGCUGUUUGUACAAUUAUUUGAAUCUGUUCUUGUCCUCAUAUUAACAUGAGUAGAUGAAAACCAGACAUGAGUUCAUGUUGUUUUACUGAAAUACCCAUUUCUGUGAGGGAGACACAGGAAAGAGACCUAAAAAAAUGUUUCCCAUGGUGUGCAUUAAAGGACAAGUGGGACAAUUUAAACAUUCUGGGCUAAUGAAUUCAGAUGUACUUAUUUAUGUUGUUACUAUUUGAUUUUUCAAGACCUCUCAUCAGGCUGCAAAUGUGAGACAGUGGCACAAUGAAACAUAAUGGUGUCAAAUUUAAUACUGACGGGCAUAAUUUUCUCUACUUAUGAAUUAUAUGUCAUUAAAAAGAUUUGGAAGCCAGCAGCAAUAAUCUAGGAUUAUUUUCAUGCUUAUUAGUAAAGGAAUUAAAGCUGAUUUUUCUAAUAUGAGACAGUGGGUAACUUUUCCCUGUGUUCUGGUGGUGGUGGUUUGGUUUUGUUUUUUUUUUUUAUAUACUCUUAGUCCUUAUCAGGUUUGCUUGUCCUAUUCUUAAUCUUAUCAUCCGCAUUUCCACUGGCUAGACUGUCAAAGGAACACCAAGUGCUGCAGAUAAAAUGCUAGAGGUGUAAAAAGCUGCUGCUCAGAAGCUAAAUCAGAAUCACAUGUCAACACAGUUCAGGCUCAGGCUCUGGCAGGAUGGUAGGAUCAUUGUUUUUAAUGCCAUUUACUAAUUAAAAAUGAGUCCCAGAUUACGGAAAGUCUGGACUGAAGCGGCUUACUAAAGCGGUGGUUUAGCUCCUUGAACUGGCUACAUCAGAGCCUGUCAUUAUAAUGUAAUUUAUUUGAAUAUUGCUCAGCAAUUUCCAGCUGCUCUUCUGACAAGAGGCGGCGCGGUUUGUGUUUCACACAAUCAACACCCCGUGUUUCGGCCGGAGCUCCCUUUACCCCCGACCGAGACGCGUGGCAGGACUGCGGCAGGUGUAUUUUAUUCGGCAGAUGUACGGUAAACGCAUUACAGCAGAUCAGCUGGAUUUUUUCCUUUAAAUGUACACUGUGAGAUCCAACUUGCAAGCCAGCUGUUUCUUAUCGGCCCGUGUAAUCUUCCCGAGCCCGGCUUUGCUUCUUCCUCUCGCAGCUAUUUCUGUAACGGGAUCGGACGAACGAGAGCACCGCUAUG